CUCCUGCCACCACUAAUUAUAGGAGGUCCCGCCUGCCCUGUGACCAAAAGUUUAACGGCCGCGGUAUUUUAACCGUGCAAAGGUAGCGCAAUCAAUUGUCUUUUAAAUGGAGACCUGUAUGAAUGGCAUAACGAGGGUUUAACUGUCUCUUUUUCCCGGUCAAUGAAACUGAUCUACCCGUGCAGAAGCGGGUAUUUACACAC
rnacentral:rRNA from 1 species